rnacentral:rRNA from 1 species
UACGUAGGUGGCAAGCGUUGUCCGGAUUUACUGGGCGUAAAGGAUGCGUAGGCGGACAUUUAAGUCAGAUGUGAAAUACCCGAGCUUAACUUGGGUGCUGCAUUUGAAACUGGGUGUCUAGAGUGCAGGAGAGGUAAGUGGAAUUCCUAGUGUAGCGGUGAAAUGCGUAGAGAUUAGGAAGAACACCGGUGGCGAAGGCGACUUACUGGACUGUAACUGACGCUGAGGCAUGAAAGCGUGGGGAGCAAACAGG